AGGAUCUCUGUCUGUCAUGGACUUUCCUCAGGAUUAGAAAGGCACAAAAUCUGUUAAUGCCUCUCCCUGUGAGGAAGCCCAUCUGCAAGCAAGAUUUGGACACAACCCAGUUACAUUGGAGACCAAGAGAUUGGAGCCUAACUCAACAAAGUAGGACAUAGCACAAUGCACUGAGCUAGUGCCACAGAAUAUCUGAGUAUCCCACAUGUCCUGGAGAAAGAUCAACACCAAGCUGGUUGGAGAAGCCUUGCGUGCCUCAACUGGUGCAGUAAGUGUCAACUCAGCUUGCUAUCAGCCAUGGGAAUUUACAAGCUUUCCAACAAGACUGAAGAAAUCCAGGAAACCACAAUGACAGAUCCACUUGAAACAACCAUUUCAUGCAUGAAACUGAAGAUGCAGAAAAGAGCAAGCAAGAAGUCAGCUUCAAGGUUCUGAACCUCAUGGUCUUCAGUGCUCAUGAAAUGGUACUUUGAGAAUCAUGUGCUUGGUAAGCUGGUAGUAAUUGCUUUUC
rnacentral:lncRNA from 1 species